rnacentral:rRNA from 1 species
AGAUUGAACGCUAGCGGCAUGCCUAACACAUGCAAGGUCGAACGGUAACAGGCCCUUCGGGGUGCUGACGAGUGGCGGACGGGUGAGUAAUGCGUAGGAAUCUACCCACGAGUGGGGGAUAGCCCGGAGAAAUCCGGUAUUAAUACCGCAUAUGACCCUACGGGGGUAAAGCGGGGGGAAUCGUAAGACCUCGCGCUGGUGGAUGAGCCUACGUCCGAUUAGUUAGUUGGUGGGGUAAAGGCCUACCAAGGCUACGAUCGGUAGCUGGUCUGAGAGGAACGUACCGAGCCGACACUGGGACUGAGACACGGCCCAGACUCCUACGGGAGGCAGC